UGAUCGCAGAAGGUUUCGUGCUAGAUCAUGUGCACCCAAUAACAAAACUAAUUGUGAGAGACAGACCGGCUUGAAGUUGAAAGCAAAAGUGAGAUACUUGCGUAGUACAAUGGCAAUCCGUGCAGAAACUCCUUAUUUCACGAAGUUUUUAUUGCCUUCCCAUUUCAGUGGAACCAAUUCUUUUAUGACAUUUCCUUGUGACUUUGCAGUAAAACAUCUCCAUCUUACACCACAAAAAAUAUUUCUCCGGUAUCAUAAUAAGAUGUGGUCAGCAAUGUAUAAGUUUAAAUCAGUUUCCAACGGACACUCGGUGACAGGACUUUAUGGAGAGGGAUGGCGUAAGUUUGUGCAAGAUAAUGAGUUGUGUAGAGGGGAUGGAUGCAUAUUUGUGCUCUCAGAAGCUUCUAAAAGGGUAAAGGUCUUUGAUGUUCAUAUAGUGCGUGUUGAUGACUAACUUACAUGGCCUAAUUUACUUGACCAAAUAGCUGAUCUCAUAUGCUUUCAGUUCAGUAGAAACUUUGAUCUGUUUGCAUUUUCCUGAAUAUCAUAUUGUUUUGGACUUCAUAUUGCAGUAUGUAAGUCAUGAACUGUGCUUUAGGUUUGUUUAGCAUAUCCUUUUUGAGCUUGGUGAUGUGCAAAUAAGCAAAGUGCAUGAUCAUGCUAAAAUGGUGUGAUUUUUUCACCUUGAUGUAAGAAAACUGCAAUAUCUUUUCUGUGAUAUAAAUGAUUUUAGUGUACCUUUCAUUUCUAAGAACAACAAUUUAGCAGCGAUUUUCAUUAUUUGA